CCUACGGGGUGCAGCAGUGAGGAAUAUUGGUCAAUGGACGAGAGUCUGAACCAGCCAAGUAGCGUGAAGGAUGACUGCCCUAUGGGUUGUAAACUUCUUUUAUAUGGGAAUAAAACGUUCCACGUGUGGGAUUUUGUAUGUACCAUAUGAAUAAGGAUCGGCUAACUCCGUGCCAGCAGCAGCGGUAAUACGGAGGAUCCGAGCGUUAUCCGGAUUUAUUGGGUUUAAGGGGAGCGUAGGUGGAUUGUUAAGUCAGUUGUGAAAGUUUGCGGCUCAACCGUAAAAUUGCAGUUGAAACUGGCAGUCUUGAGUACAGUAGAGGUGGGCGGAAUUCGUGGUGUAGCGGUGAAAUGCUUAGAUAUCACGAAGAACUCCGAUUGCGAAGGCAGUUCACUGGACUGCAACUGACACUGAGGCUCGAAAGUGUGGGUAUCAAACAGGAUUAGAUACCCUGGUAGUC
rnacentral:rRNA from 1 species